rnacentral:rRNA from 1 species
GAUGAACGCUGGCGGCGUGCCUAAUACAUGCAAGUCGAGCGGACAGACGAGGAGCUUGCUCCUCUGACUUUAGCGGCGGACGGGUGAGGAACACGUGGAUAACAUCCCUAUAAGACUGGGAUAACUUCGGCAAACCGGAGCGAAUACCGGAUGAUAUAUUGAACCGCAUGGUUCAAUAGUGAAAGACGGUUUUGCUUUCACUUAUAGAUGGAUCCGCGCCGCAUUAGCUAGUUGGUAAGGUAACGGCUUACCAAGGCGACGAUGCGUAGCCGACCUGAGAGGGUGAUCGGCCACACUGCAACUGAGGAGCGGUCCAGCCUACUACGGGAGGCAGCAGUAGGGAAUCUUCCGCAAUGGGCGAAAGCCUGACGGAGCAACGCCGCGUGAGGGAUGAAGGUCUUCGGCUCGUAAAACUCUGUUAUUAGGGAAGAACAAAUGUGUAAGUAACUAUGCACGGCUUGACGGUACCUAAUCAGAAAGCCACGGCUAACUACGUG